rnacentral:antisense_RNA from 1 species
AGACUUCAGAAGAACUGACCCAAGGACAAAGGUCCACCCAGGCCAUGGAAGAGGCUCCUCAACCGUUUGGGUGCCUGGCUACUUCAAGAGUUGAGCUAAUCACAGGGAAGAUUCAGUCUCAGUUCAGCUGCCUCAUUUGAUCAACUCAAGACUGAGUCCAACAAAAGUGGUCUGUCUAAUGAAACUCAUUUUCAUUUUUUCUCAUUAGUCUAUAACGAUUGAGACUGUAAAACGACAAAAGAAUAAAAAGAAUGACAAUU